GAUGAACGCUGGCGACGUGCCUAAUACAUGCAAGUCGAGCGAACAGACGAGGAGCUUGCUCCUCUGACGUUAGCGGCGGACGGGUGAGUAACACGUGGAUAACCUACCUAUAAGACUGGGAUAACUUCGGGAAACCGGAGCUAAUAUCGGAUAAUAUAUUGAACCGCAUGGUUCAAUAGUGAAAGACGGUUUUGCUGUCACUUAUAGAUGGAUCCGCGCCGCAUUAGCUAGUUGGUAAGGUAACGGCUUACCAAGGCGACGAUGCGUAGCCGACCUGAGAGGGUGAUCGGCCACACUGGAACUGAGACACGGUCCAGACUCCUACGGGAGGCAGCAGUAGGGAAUCUUCCGCAAUGGGCGAAAGCCUGACGGAGCAACGCCGCGUGAGUGAUGAAGGUCUUCGGAUCGUAAAACUCUGUUAUUAGGGAAGAACAAAUGUGUAAGUAACUAUGCACGUCUUGACGGUACCUAAUCAGAAAGCCACGGCUAACUACGUG
rnacentral:rRNA from 1 species